rnacentral:tRNA from 1 species
GGCGCUAGGCUGCGCCGAGACUGAAAAUCGCAGUGUCGGUGGUUCGAUCCCGCCCCCGGGCACCA